GUGGGGAAUAUUGGACAAUGGGCGAAAGCCUGAUCCAGCCAUGCCGCGUGUGUGAAGAAGGUCUUCGGAUUGUAAAGCACUUUAAGUUGGGAGGAAGGGCAGUAAGCGAAUACCUUGCUGUUUUGACGUUACCGACAGAAUAAGCACCGGCUAACUCUGUGCCAGCAGCCGCGGUAAUACAGAGGGUGCAAGCGUUAAUCGGAAUUACUGGGCGUAAAGCGCGCGUAGGUGGUUUGUUAAGUUGGAUGUGAAAGCCCCGGGCUCAACCUGGGAACUGCAUCCAAAACUGGCAAGCUAGAGUAGGGCAGAGGGUGGUGGAAUUUCCUGUGUAGCGGUGAAAUGCGUAGAUAUAGGAAGGAACACCAGUGGCGAAGGCGACCACCUGGGCUCAUACUGACACUGAGGUGCGAAAGCGUGGGGAGCAAACAGG
rnacentral:rRNA from 1 species